GCAGCUACAACUUGACAUUCGGAAUAUGCUAACCUAUAUAGUAUCUAUUCAGUGCACAAUGAGCUUUGCUGGGCUCGGUAUGUAAAAAAAACCCCACAAAAUCAUUACAAAAUAUCAAAGUAAAGGUUCCAUAUUUGCAUAAACUUGUAAAACCUUGAAGCCAAAUAUUUCACAUUUGGCAUUAUCAAAAUGUACCAACAUUUAACUGGAAACUAUUAUUCUGGCAAAUAAGUAAUUACUGGCGGAGAAAUGAAAAAGAACAUAGCAUUGUUUAUACACACACCAGCACUUGACAGUGGACACAAGAUCUACUAAUCUGGUGAUAAAUAGAUAACGAUAUAAAACCAAAAUCCAAAA